rnacentral:tRNA from 1 species
GAAGGUAUAGCUCAAUGGUAGAGUGUGUGCCUAGCUUGCAUGAGGUCCUGCGUUCAAACCCCAGUACCAACA